ACAUAUAGUACUUGGUUUGUCAGAGUGGUUGGUGAUAGGGUGACGUAUGUUACCAUGGGUGGUUGGAUGAUGAGCCAGGAUAGGAAUCCGAGUAUCUAGAACUCUUGGAUAGGGUGGUUUCAAGAAUCUUUGUUUGUAGGGCGGAAGAUAUGUUGAGUGAUUCUUUUCCUUUAGGAAUCGAGUUUGCUCCCACAAGUCGGAUUUAUUGUGUUUUCUUUCCCUCAUUUCUUCAUUG
rnacentral:lncRNA from 1 species